rnacentral:rRNA from 1 species
GUCAAUGCUCGCAAGAGUGAACUAGCUAACUGAAAUCAUAUGACUCAUUAAUUGAUGGUGAUUAUGAUAACAUAAGGGAAAAAAAUGAUAUUACCUUAUUAUUAGUGUUGUCCAAAACUGGUGCCAGAAGACUCGGUAAGACCAGAGACGCAAACGUUAGUCAUCUUAAUCAGGCGUAAAGGGUUUGUAGGCUGCUUUAAAAGUUUAAAUUAUUUAAAAAGCUCUUUUACCGUAAUAUUACCUUUAAUUAUAAUUGAAAAUAAAAUAAAAAAAAACAUAAUAAAAAUAAAAUAGAUAAUAUAAUAUAAAAAGGUAAUAUAUAAAAUUUAUUAUAUAAUAAAAAUAAAAAAUAAAAAUAAAUAAAUGAUAUUAUUAAAAAUAUAAAAUAUCCGUGUAUCAGUAAAGAAAUAAAUGAAUUAAAGCUAGGAUCAAAUUGAGGAUAAACCAAAUAAUACUUAGAGUAGGGCUUAUAUCCGCAGAUACUAAGGGGAAUACUAAAGGUGAAAACUUUUUAUCUACUAUUGAUUGACGCUGAGAAACGAAGGUGAGAACAGGAAAUAGGAUUAGAUACCCAGAUACCUCUCACUGUCAACGAUGAAUGGUGGUUUGUUAGUUUUAAUAAAAACUGGUAACGAUGUUAACACGAUAACCAUUCCGCCUUGCGAGUAC